UCUCCUCCAACAAUAUUCUGGUGACAACACGUCAGAACGACGCCUAUCAAAUCGGCGACAAAGGGAUUCUGGUGAGCCAACAAAUAAUUUUCCAAGGCUUCCAAAAAAUGAUGCAUUGAAUCGACUCAACCUCGCUUCUUGAGGAUAAAGGGUAUAUACAUAACACCCUCUCUCCAUUGAAGAUCACUCUGUCUCGAUUGCUUUUCAGUUUGUCGUACGCAUUAUCGUUAAUGUUUUAUUUAUUUAUUUAUUUAUUUAUUUAUUUUGGCAGGGUCUUAAUGGAGAUACUCCAAGUGGGGCAAGUUCAAGCCGGGGAAGAUGAAGAAUUUCCCGUGGUAUUGGUGGUCUAAAGGGUUUUUUGAACAAUUGGUAGAUUUUAAUUGAUUUAUUGAAAUCAAUGAAGGAAUUGAUGGUCAAGUAAGAUUUCAUGCUCUUCUUAUUCUGUAAUUUUCAUUUACGUUUCUUUUGAAACCCUAGCUUUGAUGGGUUUGUGAUGUUUUUUCUCUCGCCAAAAUUACAUUUACAGAUGACGCCACGCAACGUAACUUCCGAACGGCCAUUAACCUCGAGUCACAAAUCACAUCGCCUCAUUUUUCUCUGCGCCUCAUUUUUCAUUUUUGUUUCAUCACAUCUCCUUUUCGUUUUUAAUUUUAAACACUGAGUUUGGACUCCCCGAUGAUUGAUUCUUUACAAAACGUUGGUUCUUCAAUCUCUGAUCAAAAUUGUGUUAAAAUUGGAAGAUAUAAAGGUAGAUUAGAAAUGUAUUCCAUUUUCUUUCUGUUAAUGAUUUGCGUUUCAAAAAUGGCAGCGCUCCAAAAAAUUUCCAAUACGUCUUCCAUGGAUUUGUUUGGAUUUGGAGAUAACUAGGAUUGAAGAUAGAAUAUUUUCUACAAAGUUCUUCUUUUUUGAUGGACUUGCACUUGGGGUGAUAAUUGGAAAAGGAAACCUAACAAUGACUCCAGAAAAAUUGCUAGAUUGGUUACUUCAGAAAUCUGAAAGCGAUUUUGAUUUUUAGGGUCACAUUUUUUGUUAUGUUAUUGAUGUAGAAUACAAACCUAAGAAUAACAUUUGAUGGUCAUUAAACAUCAUCUUCAUCGUGGAUUUGCAAAUUCAUCCAUUUAGCACUCUAAAAAUAACGCAUGAUUGAAUUCUUUAUUAGUUAAAUUGAACUUCAAUUAUUACUGAAUUUGAUCGGAUUAAAAAGAUCAGUGGAACUGAAGUUAAUUUUCAUUAGUGCAGCCCUAAAACUGACAAACUUUAUUGUUUUUGGGCAUAAUAUGUAACUAUGUUAAUACUUAUGGACUAAUUAUUAAAAAAAAAUAGUCCCCCUGCCCAUAUAUAAGCUCCGCNUUGGGAAAAAUUGAAUGAAAAUUACUUUUAAUCUUUUGAUUUUUCUAGAAACUUUUUAAAAUUACAGAUGAUCCACCACACUAAUAGCAAGUAAGAAACAUAUAUAUUUUUUAUAAUAAAACUCAGCCUAAAGCUUAUAACAAACAUUCCCAUCACCAAAUUCGAUAAAGAACAUGGAAUCCUAACAAAAAUUUCAGAAAAGGUACAUAUCUAGGAAAUGGACCUUCUAUUGAUGCCAUUUUGGGCAGAAUUUGAAUUGAACUUUAUUGACUGGUAUUUUAAUUUGGUAAUAAGGUUCAUUGCUGACUUUUAUUUUUAAUUGAUGAUAACAUAUUUUUUGAUUUGUCAAUAAUGAUUUUGUAGCGUAAGUGGAAUAUUUUUUUUUUUAUAUUUUUAGAGUGUAUUUAAUUGACAUGGUUUGUCAGUUUACAUUUGCAGUGUUAUGAAAGAGAUUUUUGAAUAAGUUAACAACAUAAAUGAAUCAGAUCUACGCUUAUCCAGCUUUUGAAUUUCCAGAGAAAUACAAUCUCUUUGUUUUUUCUUAUGAGAUUUUAAUGUUUGGUAAAAAGUUAGAAUUUGGCUGAAAAAGCAGUGAAGAAAAUGAAAAGGUUGACCUUGUAAUUGAGCAACUUAGCGACUCAGACCAAAAAUGUAGUACAGUGAAUUACAUUUUCUGUUUCUGGUUUACUUGAUGUUUGGAUAAUUGUUGUGUGCAUGAUAUGGCUUAAUUUUCAUUUUCCUUGUAGGUUGCAGCAAUAGCUUCCAUAUCGAAGCUUCUACUUCAGAGUGGUCUGAAACUAGGGAUGCUGAAGUUUCAACUGCCACAUGCUUUUCAAACAAACAUUAAAGAAACACGGAGAUCUUUGGGCUAAAUGCAAAAAGCAGCAACGUUUUUUUCAUUUGUUUAUGUCUUGUUAUGUCAUUCUACUUUUAAUCAUCUUUUCCUUUAAUAUAUAGCAGUAACUGUCGUAUAUCACAAUCAAUUCAUUCGUGUGUAUUUGGAAGUGAAUUCGUGCAUUUAGAAUUACCCCAAUUUUAUUUGUCAUGUCAUAAAGAAUGUUAAAUGCAAGUUAUAAACUUGAUAUUAAUUGGUUGAUGGGAUGUUGCUGGAUUUUAUAAAGUGAUAGAAGUUCAAAUUUGAAUCAUCACCUCUAAACAUAUACAGUAAAGUAACUGAAUUUCUAAUGAUUUCAAUCAAUUCCAUAUCUCAGAAUUUAUUACUAAUGAAUCAGUAACGGUCAAAUUGAUACAAAUUUGGUUCAUCAUUAAUUUCAAGUUAAUUACACACAACAAUUCAAGAGUAUUUCUUCUUCAUUUUGAGCCAAUUAUAUACACAAAAACAUCGUCUCUUUGUUUAAGCCACAACA
rnacentral:lncRNA from 1 species